UUCCGGUUGAUCCCGCCGGACCUGACUGCUAUCGGAUUGAUACUAAGCCAUGCGAGUCUUUGUAGCAAUACAAGGCAGACGGCUCAGUAACACGUAGUCAAUCUACCCUAUGGACGGGGAUAACCUCGGGAGACUGAGAAUAAUACCCGAUAGAUCAUUAUGCCUGGAAUGGUUUAUGGUUCAAAUGAUUUUUCGCCAUAGGAUGGGACUGCGGUCUAUCAGCUUGUUGGUGUGGUAAUGGCCCACCAAGGCUAUAACAGAUACGGGCUCUGAGAGGAGAAGCCCGGAGAUGGGUACUGAGACACGGACCCAGGUCCUAUGGGGCGCAGCAGGCGAGAAAACUUUGCAAUGUGCGAAAGCACGACAAGGUUAACCCGAGUGUUUUCUGCUAAAGAAAUCUUUUGUCAGUCCUAAAAACACUGACGAAUAAGGGGUGGGCAAGUUCUGGUGUCAGCCGCCGCGGUAAAACCAGCACCUCAAGUGGUCAGGAGGAUUAUUGGGCCUAAAGCAUCCGUAGCCUGCUCUGUAAGUUUUCGGUUAAAUCUAUAUGCUCGACAUAUAGGCUGCCGGGAAUACUGCAGAGCUAGGGAGUGGGAGAAGUAGAUNGUACUCGGUAGGAAGGGGUAAAAUCCUUUGAUCUAUUGAUGACCACCUGUGGCGAAUGCGGUCUACUAAACACGUUCGACGGUAAGGAUGAAAGCUGGGGGAGCAAGCCGGAUUAGAUACCCGGGUAG
rnacentral:rRNA from 1 species